rnacentral:rRNA from 1 species
CGCGGUCCAUCAGCUUGUUGGUGAGGUAACGGCUCACCAAGGCGACGACGGAUAGCUGGUCUGAGAGGAUGACCAGUCACACUGGGACUGAGACACUGCCCAGACUCCUACGGGAGGCUGCAGUCGAGAAUCUUCCGCAAUGGGCGCAAGCCUGACGGAGCGAUGCUGCGUGCCGGACGAAGGCCUUCGGGUCGUAAACGGCUGUCACUCGGGACGAAUUUUGACGGUACCGAGAGAGGAAGCCACGGCUAACUACGUGCCAGCAGCCGCGGUAAUACGUAGGUGGCGAGCGUUAUUCGGAAUUAUUGGGCCUAGAGGGUUCGUAGGGGGUAAUGUAAGUCCGGUGUGAAAUCUCGAGGCUCAACCUCGAAACUGCAUUGGAAACUGCAUUACUUGAGUGUCAGAGAGGAAAGCGGAAUUCCUGGUGUAGCGGUGGAAUGCGUAGAUAUCAGGAAGAACACCGACGGCGAAGGCAGCUUUCUGGCUGGCAACUGACCCUGAUGAACGAAAGCUAGGGUAGCGAACAGGAUUAGAUACCCUGGUAGUCCUAGCUGUAAACGUUGUGCACUGGAUGUGGGCGGAUUUGGUCCCGUCUGUGUCUGAGCGAAGGCGUUAAGUGCACCGCCUGGGGACUACGGCCGCAAGGCUAAAACUCAAGGGAAUUGACGGGGGCCCGCACAAGCGGUGGAGCAUGUGGCUCAAUUCGAGGCAACGCGAAGAACCUUACCUGGGUUUGACAUAUACCUGACCGCCGGUGAGAGCCGGUUUCUCUUUGAGCAGGUAUACAGGUGCUGCAUGGCUGUCGACAGCUCGUGCUGUGAAGUGUUCGGUUAAGUCCGGCAACGAGCGCAACCCACGCUGUUAGUUACCAUCAGGUAAUGCUGGGGACUCUAACAGGACUGCCCGUGCUAAGCGGGAGGAAGGCGUGGACGACGUCAAGUCCGCAUGGCCCUUACGCCCAGGGCUGCACACGUGCUACAAUGGCCGGUACAGAGGGUCGCCACUCUGCGAAGAGGAGCUAAUCCCGAAAACCGGCCCCAGUUCGGAUUGGAGUCUGCAACCCGACUCCAUGAAGUAGGA